rnacentral:rRNA from 1 species
UACGUAGGGGGCAAGCGUUGUCCGGAAUCAUUGGGCGUAAAGAGCGUGUAGGCGGCCCGGUAAGUCCGCUGUGAAAGUCCAGGGCUCAACCCUGGAAUGCCGGUGGAAACUGUCGGGCUAGAGUCCGGAAGAGGCGAGUGGAAUUCCUGGUGUAGCGGUGAAAUGCGCAGAUAUCGGGAGGAACACCUGCGGCGAAAGCGGCUCACUGGACCAUAACUGACGCUGAUGCACGAAAGCUGGGGGAGCAAACAGG